UGUAGGGUGACUUUUAGUGUUCCCUGUCUGUGCUCUGCUCCACUCUUUCUGUGCAUCUCAGGAAACAGGACUGUAUAUGCUUUAUAAGGAAUGAUGUUCAGCUGUUUAAAGGAGAACAAUCUCAUCCUUUAUUGCUUCCCCUAUGUAAGUAAAGAAUAUCCUUGGCUCUCUGCUGCGGUUUGUACCAUGGCUGAGCUUAGGCAGCCUUUUUAGAGUCAGGGAGAGAAUGCACAGCAUGCUUUGCGCAGCAGACUUGAGCAUCUCCUGCCCGAGUGGAUACUACAUUAGGAAGCCCUGCAGCUGGAGAAGAAUAACCAGGACAGUGUGGUCCCGACAAUGCUGUGCAGGGACUGGUCACAAGGAGGAGAACACCAGCUAGUGCCCCCUUUCAGCAGCUUUUGUGAUCUACUUGUCUGCAGUCUAGGACGACGACUGCAAAGUGCGAGUGUUCAUGAAAAACACCAGGAGCAUCACAUAGGUCACAACUGCAGCAGCUAGAAACUGAGCCUCCUCUGUAAAGAGGCACGGACAGCCGUCUUAUUUUUAAGGUUAUGUCUAUGACAGAAGAUAAAUUGCACCUCACAGAGACUCUGGAACUUGCCAACUUGGGUCUUGACAACAGUGAAGCCAAGAUACCAGGAGGCUAAGGACAGACUACGGGAUGUAUCAAGAUCCCAAAAUAAAUAUUGAUGCAGUCUGUAUCAAAGUAACUCAGGUAUCUUUACAACUGAAAAUAUUUAAAUGUGGUAAUUUUUUUUUACCAUAGAAAAUAAAAAAGCCAUUCUGGUUGAUGCCCUGUCAUAGCUCUUCUGCAUGGGAGUCUGAAAUGGUGGGCAGAUGUAACAGAAAUAAAUUCUAUAUGACUGGAAAAAA